UGGGGAAUAUUGGGCAAUGGGCGCAAGCCUGACCCAGCAACGCCGCGUGAAGGAAGAAGGCUUUCGGGUUGUAAACUUCUUGUGACAGGGAAGAGCAGAAGACGGUACCUGUCGAAUAAGCCACGGCUAACUACUGGCCAGCAGCAGCGGUAAUACGUAGGUGGCAAGCGUUGUCCGGAUUUACUGGGUGUAAAGGGCGUGCAGCCGGGAAGACAAGUCAGAUGUGAAAUCCCGCGGCUCAACCGCGGAACUGCAUUUGAAACUGUUUUUCUUGAGUACCGGAGAGGUCAUCGGAAUUCCUUGUGUAGCGGUGAAAUGCGUAGAUAUAAGGAAGAACACCAGUGGCGAAGGCGGAUGACUGGACGGCAACUGACGGUGAGGCGCGAAAGCGUGGGGAGCAAACAGG
rnacentral:rRNA from 1 species